UUGCCUCAUUCUAGUUCAACUAUUCAAGAGAUACUUCUUUCCUUUCUGAUGUUCUUAGAUUUCCUUGCAGGGUUGUUACCCUUUUUUGGUUGCUACCUAUAAAGUUUAGUUCUUUUUGAAGUUUUGGUUGAUGGGAAAUUAAAACAGAAGAAGCCAGAGGAGACAAGUGGAAAGAGCAUGAGACUGACAGAUGGCAACAAAAGCAUAAGUGACGAGGUUGGACCACCAAAAGAGGAAGUUAGAACGUGGCAAGAGGACAGCUGAGGAGACUGUUAUGCAAGGGAAACAAAAGUUGGGAAGGAACCAAAGAGAAGCAAUAAGAGGGAAGUAGGGGGAGAGAGCCAGCCUUUCAAAAGCCUGGCAUCUGUGGUUACUGUUGUAUUGUGUUGGUCACUGUUUUAUCAUUUUUUAAGUUUGGUUUGGACAGUGUAAUGAAUAUCAAAUCAAUGAAAGAUGUUUUGAUCCAUUAA